rnacentral:rRNA from 1 species
UCGAGGAUCUUUGGCAAUGAGCGCAAGCUUGACCAAGCGACGCCGCGUGUGCGAUGAAGGCCUUCGGGUUGUAAAGCACUGUCGAGGGGAACGAAGCCGAAAGGUUGACCGAUCCCUGGAGGAAGCACGGGCUAAGUUCGUGCCAGCAGCCGCGGUAAGACGAACCGUGCGAACGUUGUUCGGAAUCACUGGGCUUAAAGGGCGCGUAGGCGGCUUGUCAAGUCAGGGGUGAAAUCCUCCAGCUCAACUGGAGAAGUGCCUUUGAUACUGACAAGCUCGAGGGAGGUAGGGGUAUGUGGAACUUCUGGUGGAGCGGUGAAAUGCGUUGAUAUCAGAAGGAACGCCGGUGGCGAAAGCGACGUACUGGACCUCUUCUGACGCUGAGGCGCGAAAGCUAGGGGAGCAAACGGGAUUAGAUACCCCUGUAGUCC